GCCUGUAAGUUCUACAGCUCCAAUGCUGCUCCUUUGGGGAUCUCCUUCAUUUGUAAUGACCCUUUGGCCAAACAACUCAGUGUCAUCUGCAAGACAGGAGAUGACCUGAAUCAGGACAUGCUGGUGCUUCAGAUAGUCCGUGUGAUGGACUCAGUUUGGCUCCAGGAGGGGCUGGAUUUAAAGAUGAUCACUUACAGAUGCAUCUCCACAGGAAAAGCUCAGGGGCUGGUUGAAGUGGUUCCUGAUGCAGUG